AAAAAAAAAAAAAAAGGAGAAAAUUUGUGGAACCUACGAGAAAAAGCAAAAUCCAUUGAAAAUAGAAAUCUGCUUGUCCAUAAGCACCUUUGAUUUCGCAUCGCUUCGUAUUCUCUGAGCUAUAAAAUCGUAAAAACACAGAGAAUCAUAGGCAGAUGCUUGUUUGUUGAUUAAUCAGACCCACAGAUGACACAAACAGAAAACAAAAUUCAAAAACAAAAUUAAAGAAUCGCAUAAGAGAAGAAGAGUGAUCCGACGAUACAAGUAGAUAGGGA
rnacentral:misc_RNA from 1 species